CAGCUGAUGAGUCUCAAAUAGGACGAAACGCGCGUCCUGGAU
rnacentral:hammerhead_ribozyme from 1 species